UCAAGUGAAGAAGCGCAUACGGUGGAUGCCUUGGCAGUCAGAGGCGAUGAAAGACGUGGUAGCCUGCGAAAAGCUUCGGGGAGUCGGCAAACAGACUUUGAUCCGGAGAUCUCUGAAUGGGGGAACCCACCUAGGAUAACCUAGGUAUCUUGUACUGAAUCCAUAGGUGCAAGAGGCGAACCAGGGGAACUGAAACAUCUAAGUACCCUGAGGAAAAGAAAUCAACCGAGAUUCCCUUAGUAGUGGCGAGCGAACGGGGAUUAGCCCUUAAGCUUCAUUGAUUUUAGCGGAACGCUCUGGAAAGUGCGGCCAUAGUGGGUGAUAGCCCCGUACGCGAAAGGAUCUUUGAAGUGAAAUCGAGUAGGACGGAGCACGAGAAACUUUGUCUGAACAUGGGGGGACCAUCCUCCAAGGCUAAAUACUACUGACUGACCGAUAGUGAACCAGUACCGUGAGGGAAAGGCGAAAAGAACCCCGGAGAGGGGAGUGAAAUAGAACCUGAAACCGUAUGCGUACAAGCAGUGGGAGCCUACUUGUUAGGUGACUGCGUACCUUUUGUAUAAUGGGUCAGCGACUUAUAUUCAGUGGCAAGCUUAACCGUAUAGGGUAGGCGUAGCGAAAGCGAGUCUUAAUAGGGCGUUUAGUCGCUGGGUAUAGACCCGAAACCGGGCGAUCUAUCCAUGAGCAGGUUGAAGGUUAGGUAACACUGACUGGAGGACCGAACCCACUCCCGUUGAAAAGGUAGGGGAUGACUUGUGGAUCGGAGUGAAAGGCUAAUCAAGCUCGGAGAUAGCUGGUUCUCCUCGAAAGCUAUUUAGGUAGCGCCUCAUGUAUCACUCUGGGGGGUAGAGCACUGUUUCGGCUAGGGGGUCAUCCCGACUUACCAAACCGAUGCAAACUCCGAAUACCCAGAAGUGCCGAGCAUGGGAGACACACGGCGGGUGCUAACGUCCGUCGUGAAAAGGGAAACAACCCAGACCGCCAGCUAAGGUCCCAAAGUUGUGGUUAAGUGGUAAACGAUGUGGGAAGGCUUAGACAGCUAGGAGGUUGGCUUAGAAGCAGCCAUCCUUUAAAGAAAGCGUAAUAGCUCACUAGUCGAGUCGGCCUGCGCGGAAGAUGUAACGGGGCUCAAACCACACACCGAAGCUGCGGGUGUCACGCAAGUGACGCGGUAGAGGAGCGUUCUGUAAGCCUGUGAAGGUGAGUUGAGAAGCUUGCUGGAGGUAUCAGAAGUGCGAAUGCUGACAUGAGUAACGACAAUGGGUGUGAAAAACACCCACGCCGAAAGACCAAGGGUUCCUGCGCAACGUUAAUCGACGCAGGGUUAGUCGGUUCCUAAGGCGAGGCUGAAAAGCGUAGUCGAUGGGAAACAGGUUAAUAUUCCUGUACUUCUGGUUACUGCGAUGGAGGGACGGAGAAGGCUAGGCCAGCUUGGCGUUGGUUGUCCAAGUUUAAGGUGGUAGGCUGAAAUCUUAGGUAAAUCCGGGGUUUCAAGGCCGAGAGCUGAUGACGAGUCGUCUUUUAGAUGACGAAGUGGUUGAUGCCAUGCUUCCAAGAAAAGCUUCUAAGCUUCAGGUAACCAGGAACCGUACCCCAAACCGACACAGGUGGUCGGGUAGAGAAUACCAAGGCGCUUGAGAGAACUCGGGUGAAGGAACUAGGCAAAAUGGCACCGUAACUUCGGGAGAAGGUGCGCCGGCUAGGGUGAAGGAUUUACUCCGUAAGCUCUGGCUGGUCGAAGAUACCAGGCCGCUGCGACUGUUUAUUAAAAACACAGCACUCUGCAAACACGAAAGUGGACGUAUAGGGUGUGACGCCUGCCCGGUGCCGGAAGGUUAAUUGAUGGGGUUAGCGCAAGCGAAGCUCUUGAUCGAAGCCCCGGUAAACGGCGGCCGUAACUAUAACGGUCCUAAGGUAGCGAAAUUCCUUGUCGGGUAAGUUCCGACCUGCACGAAUGGCGUAACGAUGGCGGCGCUGUCUCCACCCGAGACUCAGUGAAAUUGAAAUCGCUGUGAAGAUGCAGUGUAUCCGCGGCUAGACGGAAAGACCCCGUGAACCUUUACUGUAGCUUUGCACUGGACUUUGAGCCUGCUUGUGUAGGAUAGGUGGGAGGCUUUGAAGCGUGGACGCCAGUUCGCGUGGAGCCAUCCUUGAAAUACCACCCUGGCAUGCUUGAGGUUCUAACUCUGGUCCGUGAUCCGGAUCGAGGACAGUGUAUGGUGGGCAGUUUGACUGGGGCGGUCUCCUCCUAAAGAGUAACGGAGGAGUACGAAGGUGCGCUCAGACCGGU
rnacentral:rRNA from 1 species